rnacentral:tRNA from 1 species
UCCGAUGUAGUCUAGCUGGUUAGGAAACUCGGCUCUCACCCGAGCGACCCGGGUUCAAGUCCCGGCAUCGGAG